GCCCUUGUGGCGCAAUCGGUAGCGCGUAAGACUUCUAGAUUGAGAUCUUAAGGCUGUGGGUUCGACCCCCACCAGGGGCU